CGGGAGGCGGGACUUCCGGUCUCCCACCGGGUUCUUCUGGCCAGCCGACUCAGCUGCUCUGGAGGAUCACGCGCGACUGACAAGUUCCCCCCAAAGAAGAAGCCAUGACCCGGUGGGCGCGAGUAACCACCACACGGAGCAAGAAACCCCUGCCUGCCACCUCCUGGGAGGACAUGAAGGAGGGGUCCCUGCAGGGGAGGAGCACACACCCACCAGAGCCUCAGCCACCUGGAGCCAGGAGGCUGUCCCUGAAAAAUGACAGGCCCCAAGUAAGACAUAAAAAGAAUAAAAAGAAAAAAGAGUACUUCAGUGAAGAUGUAAAUGGAUUCAUGGAAUACCUGAGACAGAACUCACAGACGCUUCCCAGUGGGCAGGUGAUAGCCACAGACAGCCGGGAAGUGAGGGAAGAAAUCGCACUUGCUUUCAAGAAAGACAGUCGUCGGGAAGGAAGGCGACUGAAACGACAGGCAGCCAAGAAGCACGCAAUGGUGUGUUUUCAUUGUAGAAAACCUGGCCAUGGAGUGGCCGACUGCCCUGCUGCCCUUGAGAACCAAGACAUGGGUACUGGGAUAUGUUACCGGUGUGGGUCCACGGAGCACGAAAUAACCAAGUGCAGGGCUAAAGUGGAUCCUGCUCUCGGUGAAUUCCCUUUUGCAAAAUGCUUUGUUUGUGGGGAGAUGGGGCACCUGUCCCGAUCCUGUCCUGACAAUCCCAGAGGACUUUAUGCUGAUGGUGGCGGUUGCAAAGUGUGUGGCUCUGUGGAACAUCUGAAGAAAGAUUGCCCUGAAAGUCAGCAUUCAGGAGUGACAAGACAGGUGUGUGCGGAUGCUACAGGCACAGUAGGUCUGUGUCACAGCUGAGGGACCCAGGCCUCAGAAUUUUUUGAGCAGGUGGCCAGCAUGGUCACCAGCAGCACAGAAGUCUGCCCCAACUUCCCGGCCAGAGUUAGCAGUUACGUGGAAUCCAAACCCUGGUCUUCCUGACCUGACCUAGACUCAGGAGACAGGACAGUUGAGGAACCGGGGAACCUGCUUACCCUGGGGAAGUCACAUUUGCCUACAGCCUGGACACCACAGGCGGCAGUAGAGGAAAGUGGUCUUUAACUCACCUGUCUUUAGUUGCCGCUCACUCUGUUGCAGUCUCAGCAUUUUCCCUGCUUUUUCUAGAAUGUUCCAGAAGCUCCGCCCUCGGGCUUUGCAGGGUUAAUGCUUUGGCUCAAAUGACCCUUCGCGAAGCCUUCCCUGCUCACUCUAUUUAAAAUAUCAACAGCCACUUGCAGCCCUUGCCCAGUGUUUGUCUUCUGUACCUGCUUCAUUUUUCCAUGUAGCACAUCUUCUGUAUUCCCUGUUAUUUACUUAUUUUAUUCAUGUAUGACCAGCAUGCUCCUAUUGCUUGUGAACCUGAAGCCCCGUUUAGCCUCAUGACUCAAUGUUAGUUAACUGUGGCAUUGUUUCAUUCAACAGAUUUCUAUUUUUGAAAUGCCCUACCUAGAAAAUCCUGCAUGGCCAUCUUUUCCUCUCCCAUGGCCUUUUAAAGUAGGUAGAGACAAGUAACCCUGAAAAUGAGCACUUUAAUUUAGCCCAUUCCAAAUCCAUGAGCCAGGUGGAUACGCCCCAUGUGUUUGUGCAGAAGCAUCAAAACGAAAACGUUAGGAAGGUAGAUGGGAUUGUUAGAUGUGAGGAGAGGUGAAAAUGGACAACAGUGGGCCCUGCCUGUGUUACAGCACGGGCCACACUGAUGGGACCAGGGGCCAGCAGUAUCUGAAGAGUCCCCUGUGACACGGAGACCGUCUGCGUCUGUACUGCCCAGCAAGGCUGCGGCAGUCAUCAGUCACGUGCAACUGGCUCAGAAACAGAUUUUUAAAUUUUAUUUAGUAUUAAUUAAGAGCACACAUGGCUAAUGGCCAGUGUAUUGGGGGAAAAGCAGAUAGGCACGCUAUGGCUUACACCUUGGUUUCUCCCCAAAGCCUCAUGGAUCAAAGGAGGGGCUUUUGAAAGGAGUUGGAUGAUGGAGGCUCAGAGCUGACUCGCUGUUGGGAGGUGGGAUGCUGGUUGGAAGAGGAGGGUUUCCGGGUUGUGACCCGGACGGGGUCAUCCCCUCCUGGCUCCUCCCUUCCUGCCCACCACACCUUGAGCAGCUCUCCUCCGUCGCACCCUCUGCCCUGCCGCCCGCCUGGAGCCAGUGGACCGUGGACGGAAACCUCCAGCAGCUGUGAGCCAAAGUAGACUUGCCCUUUUCGAGUUGUGGGUGUCAAGUGGUGUGUCCCUAAGACACUGCCUGUGUGACACGGUCCCUGCUUAGCUGUGACUUUGCUUUCUGUGGUUUCACCUACCCUCACUUAAAUUCUGUCUGAAAAUAUUGAAUGUGAGAUUCCAGAAAUUAACAAUGUGUAAAUUUACCCUGAGUACAAUGAGGAGAUCUUGCACAGCACCGCUCUGUCCUGCCGAGGAGACGGGCCGGCCCUUUCUCCAUGGCAGCCUGCUGCGUGUGCCACCCUCCCUGAGUGCUGUCACAGCUUUCCUGGUCUUCAGGUGCAGCGCGGUACAAGGCUGUGUCACUGACCUCCUUCAUGUCAUCAUGGAAGUACCACACCAUCUCGUCAUCCCAAGAGAAAG